CUCUUUCUGUAGGGGUUUCAGCGGUCCAUUUCUCAGCAAGUUCCAGACAUCGAGCAGUUGCUAACUUGUCUCCUUAAGAUCUUCCAUUGGGAGUUUGUAGCUCAACAAGAAAGAAGGAGGUGGUGCAUGAGCAGGGCUACUUGGUCCCUGCAUUGUUUUCUUUGCACAGUUUAUACAGAUGUAAUCCUCAUUCUCAGCCAUUUCUGGAGAGACGCCAACGCAAACCUGAUGAAACCACUCAUCGCAGCCACCAUCACACUGCACCCAGUCCACUUUGUCCUUGCAGGGCCUCUGGCAGUUCUGUGCAGCACAUACUGCAUUCUCAUCAUCUGACUCCUCAGCUCCUGACCAGUCAUACUUAGAAGGAAUAUCUAGAACCUUCUUCUCUCUUUUUUUCUCUGUGCUCUCCUUUGCCAGCUCCACCUUUGCCACAACCGCCUUCUCUCGCUUCUUCUUCCGUUCCUCUUCCUUGGCCAGUUUCUUUGCCAGCUUGUUCAGCUCCUUUGUCUUAUCCAUGGUGAGUUUUAGCUUCUUUUUCUUCGGUUUUUCUAAUUUUUUCAACUCUUUAGACUUUUGCUUCAUAUCUCCGAAGAACUGUUCUGCUCUCUCCAGCUUUCGCUUCCGCUUCCUCUCGGAUGAGUCUCUCCCUCUCAUUUUCAGUGGUUUCUCAUCCAUGCUGUCAUCCUCCAUUACAUGAAGGAAUCUAUCUUCAGAGGGUGGAUGAGUAGCCUGUAAAAUCCGCCAGAUGUGCUGAGUUUCA
rnacentral:lncRNA from 1 species